GACGAACGCUGGCGGCGUGCUUAACACAUGCAAGUCGAACGAAGAGCGAUGGACGCUUGCUUCUAUCAAUCUUAGUGGCGAACGGGUGAGUAACGCGUAAUCAACCUGCCCUUCAGAGGGGGACAACAGUUGGAAACGACUGCUAAUACCGCAUACGAUCUAAUCUCGGCAUCGAGGAUAGAUGAAAGGUGGCCUCUACAUGUAAGCUAUCACUGAAGGAGGGGAUUGCGUCUGAUUAGCUAGUUGGAGGGGUAACGGCCCACCAAGGCGAUGAUCAGUAGCCGGUCUGAGAGGAUGAACGGCCACAUUGGGACUGAGACACGGCCCAGACUCCUACGGGAGGCAGCAGUGGGGAAUCUUCCGCAAUGGACGAAAGUCUGACGGAGCAACGCCGCGUGAGUGAUGACGGCCUUCGGGUUGUAAAGCUCUGUUAAUCGGGACGAAAGGCCUUCUUGCGAAUAGGGAGAAGGAUUGACGGUACCGGAAGAGAAAGCCACGGCUAACUACGUG
rnacentral:rRNA from 1 species